rnacentral:rRNA from 1 species
GACGAACGCUGGCGGCGUGCUUAACACAUGCAAGUCGAACGGACAGGCCCUGCUUUUGUGGGGUGCUCGUGUGGCGAACGGGUGAGUAACACGUGAGUAACCUGCCCCUGACUUUGGGAUAACUUCAGGAAACUGGGGCUAAUACCGGGUAGGAGCUCCUGCUGCAUGGUGGUGGUUGGAAAGUUUCGGCGGUUGGGGAUGGACUCGCGGCUUAUCAGCUUGUUGGUGGGGUAGUGGCUUACCAAGGCUUUGACGGGUAGCCGGCCUGAGAGGGUGACCGGCCACAUUGGGACUGAGAUACGGCCCAGACGCCUACGGGAGGCAGCAGUGGGGAAUAUUGCACAAUGGGCGGAAGCCUGAUGCAGCAACGCCGCGUGCGGGAUGACGGCCUUCGGGUUGUAAACCGCUUUCGCCUGUGACGAAGCGUGAGUGACGGUAAUGGGUAAAGAAGCACCGGCUAACUACGUG